AGUCUAACAUGUGCGCGAGUCAUUGGGUUCGGCGACGAAACCCAGAGGCGCAGUGAAAGUGAAGGCCGCUUCAGGGCGGCCGAGGGAGGACGGAGCCCGCCUCGUCGGGCUCCCGCACUCCCGGGGCGUCUCGCCCUCAUCGCGAGGAGAGACGCACCCAGAGCGUACACGUUGGGACCCGAAAGAUGGUGAACUAUGCCUGGCCAGGACGAAGUCAGGGGAAACCCUGAUGGAGGUCCGUAGCGAUUCUGACGUGCAAAUCGAUCGUCAGAGCUGGGUAUAGGGGCGAAAGACUAAUCGAACCAUCUAGUAGCUGGUUCCCUCCGAAGUUUCCCUCAGGAUAGCUGGUACUCGGAGGAGAGAGUCUCAUAUGGUAAAGCGAAUGAUUAGAGGCCUUGGGGCCGAAACGACCUCAACCUAUUCUCAAACUUUAAAUGGGUGAGAUCUCCGGCUUGCUCAACGUGAAGCCGGAGGCGGAUCAGAGUGCCAAGUGGGCCACUUUU
rnacentral:rRNA from 1 species